rnacentral:rRNA from 1 species
ACGUAGGGGGCAAGCGUUGUUCGGAAUCACUGGGCGUAAAGGGAGCGUAGGCGGAAGGAUAAGUUAGAAGUAUAAUAUAUGGGCUUAACCCGUAGUCUGCUUCUAAUACUGUUUUUCUUGAGUAUGGGAGAGGGAGAUGGAAUUCCAGGUGUAGCGGUGGAAUGCGUAGAUAUCUGGAAGAACACCAGCUGCGAAGGCGGUCUCCUGGCCCAAUACUGACGCUGAGGCUCGAAAGCUAGGGGAGCAAACAGGAUUAGAUACCCUGGUAGUCCUAGCCGUAAACGAUGGACACUAGAUGCUGGAGGAGUCAAUCCUUUCGGUGUCGUAGCUAACGCGUUAAGUGUCCCGCCUGGGGAGUACGAUCGCAAGGUUG